GGGUUGUGAGGUUAAGCGACUAAGCGUACACGGUGGAUGCCCUGGCAGUCAGAGGCGAUGAAGGACGUGCUAAUCUGCGAUAAGCGCCGGUAAGGUGAUAUGAACCGUUAUAACCGGCGAUUUCCGAAUGGGGAAACCCAGUGUGACUCGUCACACUAUCAUUAACUGAAUCCAUAGGUUAAUGAGGCGAACCGGGGGAACUGAAACAUCUAAGUACCCCGAGGAAAAGAAAUCAACCGAGAUUCCCCCAGUAGCGGCGAGCGAACGGGGAGGAGCCCAGAGCCUGAAUCAGCAUGUGUGUUAGUGGAAGCGUCUGGAAAGGCGCGCGAUACAGGGUGACAGCCCCGUACACAAAAGCGCAUAUGCUGUGAGCUCGAUGAGUAGGGCGGGACACGUGGUAUCCUGUCUGAAUAUGGGGGGACCAUCCUCCAAGGCUAAAUACUCCUGACUGACCGAUAGUGAACCAGUACCGUGAGGGAAAGGCGAAAAGAACCCCGGCGAGG
rnacentral:rRNA from 1 species